CCGCAUGGUUCAAAAGUGAAAGACGGUCUUGCUGUCACUUAUAGAUGGAUCCGCGCUGCAUUAGCUAGUUGGUAAGGUAACGGCUUACCAAGGCAACGAUGCAUAGCCGACCUGAGAGGGUGAUCGGCCACACUGGAACUGAGACACGGUCCAGACUCCUACGGGAGGCAGCAGUAGGGAAUCUUCCGCAAUGGGCGAAAGCCUGACGGAGCAACGCCGCGUGAGUGAUGAAGGUCUUCGGAUCGUAAAACUCUGUUAUUAGGGAAGAACAUAUGUGUAAGUAACUGUGCACAUCUUGACGGUACCUAAUCAGAAAGCCACGGCUAACUACGUGCCAGCAGCCGCGGUAAUACGUAGGUGGCAAGCGUUAUCCGGAAUUAUUGGGCGUAAAGCGCGCGUAGGCGGUUUUUUUAAGUCUGAUGUGAAAGCCCACGGCUCAACCGUGGAGGGUCAUUGGAAACUGGAAAACUUGAGUGCAGAAGAGGAAAGUGGAAUUCCAUGUGUAGCGGUGAAAUGCGCAGAGAUAUGGAGGAACACCAGUGGCGAAGGCGACUUUCUGGUCUGUAACUGACGCUGAUGUGCGAAAGCGUGGGGAUCAAACAGGAUUAGAUACCCUGGUAGUCCACGCCGUAAACGAUGAGUGCUAAGUGUUAGGGGGUUUCCGCCCCUUAGUGCUGCAGCUAACGCAUUAAGCACUCCGCCUGGGGAGUACGACCGCAAGGUUGAAACUCAAAGGAAUUGACGGGGACCCGCACAAGCGGUGGAGCAUGUGGUUUAAUUCGAAGCAACGCGAAGAACCUUACCAAAUCUUGACAUCCUUUGACAACUCUAGAGAUAGAGCCUUCCCCUUCGGGGGACAAAGUGACAGGUGGUGCAUGGUUGUCGUCAGCUCGUGUCGUGAGAUGUUGGGUUAAGUCCCGCAACGAGCGCAACCCUUAAGCUUAGUUGCCAUCAUUAAGUUGGGCACUCUAAGUUGACUGCCGGUGACAAACCGGAGGAAGGUGGGGAUGACGUCAAAUCAUCAUGCCCCUUAUGAUUUGGGCUACACACGUGCUACAAUGGACAAUACAAAGGGCAGCGAAACCGCGAGGUCAAGCAAAUCCCAUAAAGUUGUUCUCAGUUCGGAUUGUAGUCUGCAACUCGACUACAUGAAGCUGGAAUCGCUAGUAAUCGUAGAUCAGCAUGCUACGGUGAAUACGUUCCCGGGUCUUGUACACACCGCCCGUCACACCACGAGAGUUUGUAACACCCGAAGCCGGUGGAGUAACCUUUUAGGAGCUAGCCGUCGAAGGUGGGACAAAUGAUUGGGGUGAAGUCGUAACAAGGUAGCCGUAUCGGAAGGUGCGGCUGGAUCACCUCCUUUCUAAGGA
rnacentral:rRNA from 1 species